rnacentral:tRNA from 1 species
GGGCGGAUAGCUCAGUUGGGAGAGCACCUGCCUUACAAGCAGGGGGUCACAGGUUCGAGCCCUGUUCCGCCCA